rnacentral:misc_RNA from 1 species
GUGCUUCAAUCCGAAGUUGAAGACGACGCUGCACCUCUAGCUGCUCAUGCAGUCUUCGUUGGACUUCCAUCUGCACCCGCAAUGCCUCAGUAACCUGGUAACCGUCGUUUAGAUCCUGUGCUAUCAAUCUUGAUGACGUUGAUGUUGAUGAACCAGUAUCCUGACUUUCUGCAACAGAUACAUCCUUAGAAUUAUCAUUUGAUUCUUUGCAAGAUUGCCUUCCCAACCGGUAUUUCUGUAGGUGAGAUUUUAAGUGAUACAGGGUAAGGCCCUUUACCCCCAUUGUUCUCAUAAUAGUCUUUGGUGUUGCUUUGUCAGGUCCACCCAGCUGGGUUACAGCAUCGACAAA